CCUACGGGUGGCAGCAGUGGGGGAUAUUGCACAAUGGGGGAAACCCUGAUGCAGCGACGCCGCGUGUAGGAAGACGUACUUCUGGACUGUAAACUACUGUCCCCAGGGACGAAAAUGACAGUACCUGACAAAGAACCCCCGGCUAAUUACGGGCCAGCAGCCGCGGUAAUCCGUAGGGGGCAAGCGUUAUCCGGUUUUACUGGGGGGAAAGGGAGCGUAGACGGUCCGGUAAGUCUGGAGUGAAAGGCCGAGGCCCAACCGCGGAACUGCUUUGGAAACUGGGUGACUAGAGUACAGGAGGGGCAAGCGGAAUUCCUGGUGUAGCGGUGAAAUGCGUAGAUAUCAGGAGGAACACCGGUGGCGAAGGCGGCCUGCUGGACUGUAACUGACGUUGAGGCUCGAAAGCGUGGGGAGCAAACAGGAUUAGAUACCCGGGUAGUC
rnacentral:rRNA from 1 species